AAUCGUUAUUGUUCGGAUGAUGACCACUGUGUCCCUUAUUAAGACGAAAUUAAAAAUAGGAAGUGGUUAUAAUUAUCAUUUUGGACACCAGUCCAGUGGCAUCAUUCUCAACACAGUGCUGGGAUUAUAAAGUAAUAGCCAAGGGAAUGUCAAUUUACCGUUCCUUUUUUCAGUGCAGCACGAGUGUGAGCCAGUACAAUCCCUGCUAUCUCCUUCCCCGACAUCCAGCCGUGCAUUUCCCAUUACUGCUCGUUCGGCUUUCUGAGGUCCAUUGUGACAUUAACAAAGGCAGCCCAGUGAUAUUGUUACAUCCAAAUGAUGGACAGAGACAGAGAAAAAACUCCCAGUACCUCUAGAGAUGAAAACAAUAAUCUUGUACCAUUCCAAAUGGGAAGAGAAUUUCCCAGAUAAAGAUUUACCUGUCUCCUGCUCUAAGGCAAAGUGCUGUUGCCUGUUCCAAGCUCACUGGCUUUGCUCUCCACUCCACACAAGGAAGCCAGAACUCCAUGCUGAACUCCAGAUCGUGUGUCAGGUAAAACCUCUAUCCAAACUUUCUGCAUGCAGGGAAUGGCUACAGCACUCUCUUCAAUACUUGCACAACAACUCACUCACCAUGGUUUAAACCAAACUUCUCAACAACCUUUGCCAUUCCCCAUUGUCUUCCCUGUGUUCAGUGCUGUCAGCUUUUCCUUGGACACAUCCACAGCACAGUAAAUCUUCCUCCUGUGCUCCUCGACUCAAGCCACCGUUCUGGUUGCUGACAUUAGUCAAGGUCUAACAGGAUCUACCAUUCCAUUCACGCCUCCAGAAGAUUUGUGCCAUCCAGAUGGCCUUACUGAGUGAAACUCUCAUUGUUUCAUGCAGCUAAAAUCAGUUCUGCUAACAAAAAUGAUAAGGUGCCAGAAUCCGUAUCGAUCAUAUAUCCGCCCAUCUCUCUUGCCAUCUCUCCACAAUUUCCGCAAUCCUUGAGAGCGCCACUUGUCAGUGCGCUGCAGGAACUCAUCCAAAAUGCUUUAAGAUCCCUAAAUUAAUCAUGGAGGAUUCACCUUCCCUUCCAUCAGAGAAAACAAAAGCUUGAAAUUCAAGGGGAGGGCUGGAAUCUCCCCAGCUGAUUGGCUGGAGGAUGUCUUCUCACCCACACAUCCCACUCGGUAACAUUUCCAAAUAUUUUUGGGCAAGCUGAAAACAAUUGUGUUGGAGGGGCAGGGGGGCUGCUAAUACCCUAUCGGUUUCACAUUCCUAGGAGAGUUCCCAGCCCACCAAUCUGCCAUCCUAUAUCAGGCAAUGAGCCCUCAG
rnacentral:lncRNA from 1 species